UAAAUAAGAAGCUCAUUUACGAUGCUACGUCACAUUGUUAUUUGUUACAUUGUUAUUCAGGUGAACUACGCGGCAAGAGGUUUUGCGCGCGCGCUCGCUCGCUCGCUCGCUCGCUCUUCACUGCCGGAAGGCGGUUUCUGAGACGAAGUUCUGCUUCCAUCGGCCGACAAGCGUUUCCGAUUUGUUUCUAUUUCGCUCCGUUCUUCGGACUGUCGCGAUUGGAACACGAAGGGAUGGCUAAAUUGUCCUCUACGUUGAGACUAUUUGAUGCACAUUGUCACCUCCAAGAUCCAAGAAUAUUUGAUAAAGCACCUCAAUUAAUUAGUGUAGCAGUGGAUUCUGGUGUUGUUCGCUUUGCUGUUAAUGGAACCUCUGAGAAAGAUUGGCAUUUGGUCAAGCAAUUGAGUGAAUUACAUCCUUGCAUAGUUCCAUCCUUCGGACUUCAUCCCUGGUAUGUUCCUGGAAGAACUCCCGUCUGGCUUGAAAAACUUAAGGAAUUUUUUGAAGCAGUACCAAGCGCAGCAGUUGGAGAGAUUGGUCUGGACAAAGGUUCACGAGGAAGGGAGAUCAAUUUUACAGAUCAGAUUGAGGUCUUUCAGCAACAGCUAGAGCUUGCUAAGUCUUUAGAAAAACCAGCAUCCAUCCACUGUGUUCGUGCUUUUGGUGACCUCCUUAAGAUAAUGAAAUCUAUGGGACCUUUUCCUGCUGGUUUCAUUCUGCAUUCAUAUCUAGGAUCUGCUGAGAUGGUUCCGGAGUUCUCCAAGCUAGGUGCUUACUUUUCGUUUUCUGGUUUUCUAAUGUCCAUGGAGGCAAAGAAGGCAAAGAAAAUGUUGAAAACGGUGCCUUCAGAUAGGAUUUUGUUGGAGACUGAUGCGCCUGAUGCACUUCCCAAGUCAAAGUCAAACUCCCUCUAUUUGGUUGAGGGCGAUCCUGCCCUUACUGAAUUUCUUAAGGCCCAAGAACAAUCUGCUCCAACAGGUUCACAACAAAGUACUUUGCUUUGUUCCUCUGCAGAUGCAUCAACACUGCCGAGAGAGACUCUCAAUCACCCAGCAAAUAUUCAAAAUGUUCUUGAUUACGUCGCAUCUUUAUUGGGGAUCAGUAAAGAAGAACUCGCUGAAUUGAGUUAUAGGAAUGCGGAGCAUUUAUUCUCUUUCAAGGGUGUACAAACUUCUUAGGGAAGAAUCCAAAUAUUUAGUCAGGCGAUGCCUUUCUGGUGCUUGUCUUUGGUAUUGUGUAUCAACAACAAGAAAAAUCUUCUAACAACGCAGGCAUCGUAGGACUAAUGGCAUUUGAGAGGCAGGUUGAUAAUUCAUACAAUAGGCACUGCGGGGAUGCAUGGAAUUUCAGAGGUAGAUGUGCUAACCUGGUCAAUAAACUUAGAUCACUAACCUAGGGUUUUGUGCAUUCAAAUUACUUUUUACUAUAUGAGCGGAGAUGAUUAUUAGAAGGAACAUUGCAUUUAUGCUGCCACGAACGGUUCAAUCUGGAGCUGCAAGGUCAAAAGAUGAACUAGGAGAUCAGCAGAGACCCCAGGUUAGUGGCUGAUUUUGUCAUCCGACUUUCUUUCUUUUUGAUAAAAGCCAGACGGUAGAACAGAAUUGACGGCUCAAGGACAUGUGGUGAGGAUGAUAACAAUCCUAAAUUAUUCCCGGGUAAGUUUGAAAGAAAGUUUCAAUUCUAAAAAGAAAUAUAUUGAAUUCUACUAUUCUCAGCUCCAUUAAAAUUAAAUUUCAUAUGACUAAACGUGAAUGCGUAAAUACACACGUAUAUUAUCUAAAUAAUUCUCAAAUAUAUUAUCUUAUAAGUUCAAUA